rnacentral:rRNA from 1 species
UACGAAGGGUGCAAGCGUCACUCGGAAUUACUGGGCGUAAAGCGUGCGCAGGCGGUUUUGCAAGACAGAUGUGAAAUCCCCGGGCUUAACCUGGGAACUGCAUUUGUGACUGCAAGGCUAGAGUGUGUCAGAGGGAGGUGGAAUUCCGCGUGUAGCAGUGAAAUGCGUAGAGAUGCGGAGGAACACCGAUGGCGAAGGCAGCCUCCUGGGAUAACACUGACGCUCAUGCACGAAAGCGUGGGGAUCAAACAGG